rnacentral:rRNA from 1 species
AUAUUUUAUCUUAUAAAUUAUAUAUUGAUCGACAGCGAGAGAGGGAGGCUCCGCCACCAACGCGACAUGUUUUUCUCCCCCCCGCGCUCGGCGAAGAGAGAAGAGGGGGGGGCCGCGCGAGGGAGGGGCCACCACCCCCACAUAUUAAUUAAUAUGUGGAGUUGUAGUUGGGUCCCCCCCUCAUCUUUAAGCACCACCCCCCAGAGGCUUUUUUACACCCUUUUUAUGGUUUUUCCGGGGGUCUUUUUAUUUUUUGGUGUGGGGAAAAUUUUGAGAGGGGGGAAAAACAAAAUUUUCCCCACCCCGGAAAAACAGCUCUUUGACACCCAUAGAUUACCCCCCAAGUCUUUUUUAGAGGGAGCCCCUUUUUGAAAAAACCCAAAGCUAUGUCCAUUCCCAAACGGGUGUGGAGAGGGUUUUUCCCCCUAAUGGGUCGGACCCUGCCAGGGCGGCCCCGCGAAAUUCAAUUUAGUGAUUUUUUUUGGGUCCAAUUUUAAAGAAAAGAAAAAAGUUGGUAACAAAGGUUUUCCGUAGGGGAACCUGCGGGGGGGAUCCUUUAAGAAAAUUUUAUAAUUUUUGAAAAAUGGAUUUUUUUGUUUUGGCAAGAGCAUGAGAGCUUUUACUGGGCAAGAAGACCAAGAGAAGGAGAGUCCAGCGGGCCCUGCGCUUAAGUGCGCGGUCUUGCUAGGCUUGUAAGUUUCUUUCUUGCUAUUCCAAAACGGUGAGAGAUUUCUGUGCUUUUGUUAUAGGACAAUUAAAACCGUUUCAAUACAACACACUGUGGAGUUUUCAUAUCUUUGCAACUUUUUCUUUGGGCAUUCGAGCAAUCGGGGCCCAGAGGUAACAAACACAAACAAUUUUAUCUAUUCAUUAAAUUUUUGUCAAAAACAAGAAUUUUCGUAACUGGAAAUUUUAAAAUAUUAAAAACUUUCAACAACGGAUCUCUUGGUUCUCGCAUCGAUGAAGAACGCAGCGAAAUGCGAUACGUAAUGUGAAUUGCAGAACUCCGUGAAUCAUCGAAUCUUUGAACGCACAUUGCGCCCCUUGGUAUUCCAGGGGGCAUGCCUGUUUGAGCGUCAUUUCCUUCUCAAACAUUCUGUUUGGUAGUGAGUGAUACUCUUUGGAGUUAACUUGAAAUUGCUGGCCUUUUCAUUGGAUGUUUUUUUUCCAAAGAGAGGUUUCUCUGCGUGCUUGAGGUAUAAUGCAAGUACGGUCGUUUUAGGUUUUACCAACUGCGGCUAAUCUUUUUUUAUACUGAGCGUAUUGGAACGUUAUCGAUAAGAAGAGAGCGUCUAGGCGAACAAUGUUCUUAAAGUUUGACCUCAAAUCAGGUAGGAGUACCCGCUGAACUUAAGCAUAUCAAUAAGCGGAGGAA